CUCCAGAUCAGACUCAACUUCAGCUCUUUUUAUUUUACCCAGACUCAAGACCAUCACAGGAUGCGACUGAUGGUUCUUCUCUUGCUCUUUGUCACUUUGAUUCUCAGCGAUGGAUUGAGUAACAACAGCAACCAUCACACUGAAAUCAACCUUCUGUCAAAACAAUCAACACCUUGUCAGAGAUCUCUGAAUAAUGUGUGGAUCAUGGAGGAGAAUCCAGGAUUACAGCAGGACUGAAGAAAUAUGCCUGUUUUCUCACACUGGAUCCAAACACAGCAAACAAACGACUCAUUCUAUCUGAGGAGAACAGAAACGUGACAAAUGUGGACAAUAAUCAGUCGUAUCCUGAUCAUCCAGACAGAUUUGAUUAUUGGUGUCAGGUGUUGUGUAGAGAGAGUGUGUGUGGACGCUGUUACUGGGAGAUUGAGUGGAGUCGACGUGUGGAGAUAUCAGUGUCAUAUAAGAGCAUCAGCAGGAAGGGACGGGGUGUUGAGUGUGUGUUUGGAUUUAAUGAUCAGUCCUGGAGUUUGAUCUGCUCUCACUCCAGAUACUCAUUCACACACAAUAAAAGAAAGAAUGAUCUCCAUGUGAAGCCCAUCAUCAGUAGUGUAGGAGUGUCUGAUAAUAUCUAUAGAGUAGGAGUGUAUGUGGAUGUGAGUGCAGGAACUCUGUCCUUCUACAGCGUCUCUGACACAAUGAGUCUCAUCCACACAGAACAGACCACAUUCACUCAGCCGCUCUAUCAUGGGUUUUAUCUUAAUAAUGGAUCAUCAGUGAAACUGUGUUGAUGAAUCAGAAUAGACUGAUGAGAGAUUGUACCCAUAAUGCUUUGAGCUGAUGAUGAAUCAGUAACAGUGAGAUGUUAUUGAGUCUCUUCAUGACAUUAAUACUGCAGUUCAACUUCAAAUAACAGAAUAAAUGUGUCAGAAAUCACCAUAUAGACAGAAACAUCAGUGUGUGUAUUUGUGAUGUUAUUGUUGUGUCUCAUCAAUCAUUUGUUUUAGUGUCAAAAUGUAAAAAUGUCACAAUCAUGAUU